CGACUUCUCAAGUUAUUUUUCUCCUUUGCAUUUGCUACAGUCCAAAUUAGAACUUCUGGGAUCAGAAAGUUCUUAAGACUGAGUUCGUAUAAGGUUAUGGACGAGGACAUGUCACAAUACCAUUUUGGAAUGGUGUUAAAAGAGACAAUGCUAAACCUGGGUCCUGCCUUUAUCAAAGUCACAAGAUUACCAAUAUACUAGUUACAUGCCUUUGCUUGCUGAUGCAGUUGGUCAAUCCCUUUCUACAAGGCCGGAUAUUAUUGGUCCU